AUGAAGAGGAUGAUCAAGGCUCUAGAAACGACGGGGGAGGAAGGGGCUAUCCUCCAGGUCGUCUUCCGAGGGAAAGAGGAAGUGGUUGCAGCGCCGGUUGCACCGGGACCCGCCUGGCCCGAUGAGAGCCUAGAAGUGGCGAUGGCCGACCUGUCGGUCAACCUGGAGGAGCCAGCAUCACCGCUGUCAACGCCGCAAGCAGAGCCAGCAGUGGCCGAAGAGCCAGAGCCGGAAGUGAUCGAAGAGCGAGAUCCAGAAGUGGUCGUAGAGCCGGAGCCAGAAGUGGCCGAAGAGCAAGAGCCAGAGGUGUCCGAAGAGCCGGAGACAGCGGCAGCACAGGUACCGGUCUCGGCUCUCGGCACCGGCAAGAGACGCCGUUUGCCUAUAAAGAAAAUUCAGCAAGUUGCAAUGGAUGGUCCAAACGUCAACUUACGAAUGGCGGAAGACUUAAGAAGUUUUUUAGAAUUUGAGUUCGGAGCAGAAAACCCAGAGCCUUUUUACACGGGAACCUGUGGAUUACAUGUAGUUCAUGGUGCUUUUAGAGCAGCAGCUGUGAAAACAGAAGCAGUUUUUGGCCCAUGGGCUGAUAGCAGAGGCUCAAGAGUGUGGAGCUGA
rnacentral:lncRNA from 1 species